rnacentral:rRNA from 1 species
GCCCUACGGGAGGCUGCAGUAGGGAAUAUUGGUAAUCUGGGAAACCGGGAACCAGCAACGCCGCGUGUGCGAUGAAGGCCUUCGGGUUGUAAAGCACUUUUUAAGAGGAUGAGGAAGGACAGUACUCUUAGAAUAAGCCUCGGCUAACUACGUGCCAGCAGCCGCGGUAACACGUAGGAGGCAAGCGUUAUUCGGAUUUACUGGGCGUAAAGCGCGUGCAGGCGGUUUGGUAAGUUGGAUGUGAAAGCUCCUGGCCUAACUGGGAGAGGUCGUUCAAUACUACCAGACUAGAGGAUGGGAGAGGGAGGUGGAAUUCCGGGUGUAGUGGUGAAAUGCGUAGAUAUCCGGAGGAACACCAGUGGCGAAAGCGGCCUCCUGGCCCAUUUCUGACGCUCAGACGCGAAAGCUAGGGUAGCAAACGGGAUUAGAUACCCGGGUAGUCGG